CUGAAGUAAGUUGAGCCAUAGGAGUCACAUGACAAGAGUGAGGCGCGAUGACUGACGGGUCGAUGCCAGAUGCAAAAGCGCAAGAACAUUUGUUAAAAGUUGCAUUUAUUUUUUUUAAUAUAAAGUAAUAUUGAAUCAACAUUAAGCAAUCAUUUUGUUCGAAGUAAAGGAAAGAUCUGAUGUUAAAGAUCAAAAUGGGCUCCGUGCACAAGAUGGCGCCGGUGAGGUGCGGCGAUGCAAGUUUACCUCCACUCAUACACUUUCGGUCUUAACGACGUUAGCAUUUACUGUAAGAGUAAACUUAUGUAUGAAGCUAGAUAUAGAUAACAGCUAGAUAUAAUGAAAGUUUUUUAAAUUAAAUGUGAUGGUGGUCUAUCAGAGACAAAAGAAAACAUCAUUCUUAUAUUAAUGUGUACCUCUGUGUGGUAAUUCAUUGAGAUAUGCGGAGAUUAUCUUUCAUUCUUUCUCCUGUUAUUUGCCUCCAUAUUUAAUUAUCAGGUUUUGCAACUAACGUUCAAUACAUUUGUACAAAGAACAAAAUAAAAUUGACUUUAAGGA